GUUGAAAUGGACAAGAUUAUAUAGGAUUAUAUAUAACACAAUCCACUAUCCCGAUCGUUUGUACGAGGGGUUCCUCGGCUUUCCUGAAAGCCGCGAUGAAAUGCGAGCGGGCAGACAGAAACGGGACCGAGACGAGAUAAUAAAAUUCGCCGUGCGUCGUUCGCGAUCACGGUGGUCGGCUAUUCGACGUGUCACCUGCCGCUCGUGAGAGAAGCAACUUGGUCCUCCUCUGGAUAAAAUACCGGGAAGCAAGAGUGCGUCUUGUUCUCGCGAGGACGCCGCCCAUGCGCUCCCUCAGGUACGACGUUCCGAAGACGCACAUACGCGCACAUACGCGCUCGACUAUCCGCGGAGCACGUAAUGUUAAACAGAUGCCGAGGAAUGCCUGCGGGACGGAUAAUAAUGGUGAGAAGGAAUUUAAUAUGCGCGCGGACGCGCGGAGUCGAGCAUCAAUCAGGAGAUGCCACGAGGUCGUACGACGACGUGCGCGCAUAUCAUUGUCAUCGCCGGCGUUUCCCGUGGAAUAAAUCUACGGUGAGACGCCCAUUGUCAACUCUCGCGUGCACCGCCACGGCUGCUGCGACGACGGUUCACGGAUGCUGCACGGACGGUCUGUCGUUGCCAGUCUCCUCGAUACCUAACAUAAAUCUUGCGCGCGUUCUACGUUUGUUGCGCAUCUCGCUACCGUAUCUCUCUGACUCGGUUCGAAUAUCGGCUCGAAUUGAAGGGAGGUGUUACUGUUUUAAUUUCCAGGUGAUGCGAGUUUAUAAAAUGAUCGAGGUGAUACGAGUUUAUAAAAUGAUCGAGGUAAAUGAGAGACAGAGAGAUUAUCGCGCGAUGACUUUAAUUACGGAUUCCGCAUGCAUUUAGAUGUAACAGAAAUGAUCGAUACCGAUGUUAGGAAAGAUUAAACGUGACAUGCGUGAAUAGCGAACAUUUAAUAGAUCGGAAUUAAUGAGAAACGCUCGCAAAAACAAAGUCCCCGCCGAGAAAGGUAACGCGUGCAGCGCGGAUCGAUGCUCCGCGGUUUCUCGUUCACCGCGACGCACGCAAGUACGCAGGACGCACGCACGCAUGUAUGCACGCACGCACGCCCGCACGCACGUAGCUUCGCGAAUAUUGCGAAAAACCGAGCGUGGCGCGUGUGAAACCACGAGCGCGACUCGACGCGCGUAUGGAAAUGGCGCGCAGUUGCCAUUGUAUGGAAAUGGAUACGAGUCCGUUCAUCGCGGCAGAAGCAACCACUGUGACCAGCUGGCUCUCCUCCUGCCUACCUACCGACUCGGUAAUGUCGCUGUCAGGAAAGCGGCAAGCCUCGUUCCGUACAUUGCAAAAGCGAACGCGUACAAGACGCGCUCGUUCUUCAAGAGACAUCUGACAAAUAUUAAUUUUAAUUAAUGAUCGCUA